rnacentral:rRNA from 1 species
AUACAUGCAAGUCGAACGAGUUCUCGUUGAUGAUCGGUGCUUGCACCGAGAUUCAACAUGGAACGAGUGGCGGACGGGUGAGUAACACGUGGGUAACCUGCCCUUAAGUGGGGGAUAACAUUUGGAAACAGAUGCUAAUACCGCAUAGAUCCAAGAACCGCAUGGUUCUUGGCUGAAAGAUGGCGUAAGCUAUCGCUUUUGGAUGGACCCGCGGCGUAUUAGCUAGUUGGUGAGGUAAUGGCUCACCAAGGCGAUGAUACGUAGCCGAACUGAGAGGUUGAUCGGCCACAUUGGGACUGAGACACGGCCCAAACUCCUACGGGAGGCAGCAGUAGGGAAUCUUCCACAAUGGACGCAAGUCUGAUGGAGCAACGCCGCGUGAGUGAAGAAGGCUUUCGGGUCGUAAAACUCUGUUGUUGGAGAAGAAUGGUCGGCAGAGUAACUGUUGUCGGCGUGACGGUAUCCAACCAGAAAGCCACGGCUAACUACGUGCCAGCAGCCGCGGUAAUACGUAGGUGGCAAGCGUUAUCCGGAUUUAUUGGGCGUAAAGCGAGCGCAGGCGGUUUUUUAAGUCUGAUGUGAAAGCCCUCGGCUUAACCGAGGAAGCGCAUCGGAAACUGGGAAACUUGAGUGCAGAAGAGGACAGUGGAACUCCAUGUGUAGCGGUGAAAUGCGUAGAUAUAUGGAAGAACACCAGUGGCGAAGGCGGCUGUCUGGUCUGUAACUGACGCUGAGGCUCGAAAGC